UACAUUUUCUAGCUUGCUAUAAGGUGACGAGCGGCGGACGGGUCAAAAAAGCAUUGGGAAUAUGCCUUAUGGUGGGGGACAACAGUUGGAAUUUUACUGCUAAUACCGCAUAAUGUCUACGGACCAAAGGGGGGGAUCUUCGGACCUCCCGCCAUUUGAUUAGCCCAAGUGAGAUUAGCUAGUUGGUAAGGUAAUGGCUUACCAAGGCGACGAUCUCUAGCUGGUUUGAGAGGAUGAUCAGCCACACUGGGACUGAGACACGGCCCAUACUCCUACGGGAGGCAGCAGUGGGGAAUAUUGCACAAUGGGCGAAAGCCUGAUGCAGCCAUGCCUCGUGUGUGAAGAAGGCCUUCGGGUUGUAUAGCACUUUCAGUAAGGAUGAAAGGGUAGUCGUUAAUAGCGGCUAUCUGUGACGUUUUCUUUCAGAAGAAGCACCGGCUAACUUCUUGCCUGCAGUCCUGCGUUAAUACGAGGGGUGCAAGGCGUUUAAUCGGAUUUACUGGUUGUAAAGCGUUCGUAGGCGUUUGAAUAAUCAAGAUGUGAAAGCUCUAGGUCUCAACCUUUGGAACUGCAUUUUUGAUCUGUUCGACUAUAGUACUGUAUGAGGGUGGUUGAAAUUUCCAGUGUAGCGGUGAAAUGCGUAUAGAUUGGAUGAACCUCAUUGUCUUAUGGC
rnacentral:rRNA from 1 species